GAUGAACGCUGACAGAAUGCUUAACACAUGCAAGUCUACUUGAACUUCGGUUUGGGUGGCGGACGGGUGAGUAACGCGUAAAGAACUUGCCUCACAGAUAGGGACAACAUUUGGAAACGAAUGCUAAUACCUGAUAUUAUGAUUUUAGGGCAUCCUGGUAUUAUGAAAGCUAUAUGCACUGUGAGAGAGCUUUGCGUCCCAUUAGCUAGUUGGAGAGGUAACGGCUCACCAAGGCGAUGAUGGGUAGCCGGCCUGAGAGGGUGAUCGGCCACAAGGGGACUGAGACACGGCCCUUACUCCUACGGGAGGCAGCAGUGGGGAAUAUUGGACAAUGGACCAAGAGUCUGAUCCAGCAAUUCUGUGUGCACGAUGAAGUUUUUCGGAAUGUAAAGUGCUUUCAGUUGGGAAGAAAAAAAUGACGGUACCAACAGAAGAAGUGACGGCUAAAUACGUG
rnacentral:rRNA from 1 species